GAGAGCCUGGUGCAUGGAAAGCGUGCAUGCCAUGGUUCGGAGGAGGGCGGUUGGGAACGUGCCUGAAAGGUAACGCACUGGCCGCCUAUCCUAU
rnacentral:ncRNA from 1 species